rnacentral:rRNA from 1 species
AGGACGAACGCUGGCGGCGUGCUUAACACAUGCAAGUCGAGCGGAAAGGCCCUUCGGGGUACUCGAGCGGCGAACGGGUGAGUAACACGUGAGCAACCUGCCCUUAGCUCUGGGAUAGCUCCGGGAAACCGGAAUUAAUACCGGAUACGACCUAGGCCGACAUCGGCCAUGGUGGAAAGUUUUUCGGCUAGGGAUGGACUCGCGGCCUAUCAGCUAGUUGGUGGGGUAAAGGCCUACCAAGGCGACGACGGGUAGCCGGCCUGAGAGGGCGACCGGCCACACUGGGACUGAGACACGGCCCAGACUCCUACGGGAGGCAGCAGUGGGGAAUCUUGCGCAAUGGGCGAAAGCCUGACGCAGCGACGCCGCGUGGGGGAUGAAGGCCUUCGGGUUGUAAACCCCUUUCAGCAGGACGAAGCGAAAGUGACGGUACCUGCAGAAGAAGCGCCGGCUACUACGUGCCAGCAGCCGC